GUUUUUCUCUAUAUAGUUUUUUGCAUCUCACUUCUGAACUCACCCAACAAACCUGCCAGCUGCUUCCUCCCUCUUUACACCAAAUGGCGUUUAGUAAACCCAGCUUUUAUACACUUGUGCAUCCGCAAGUGUUUCUUUUCUUCUUUAUUAACCUAGGAUGCCUGCAAGCCAGUGCUUCAGUGAGAGAGACAGAUGAACUUGCUUUGCUCGAAUUCAAACAAGGGAUAAGUGAUCCACAUGGUAUCUUCAACUCAUGGAAUGAUUCUCUCCAUUUCUGCAACUGGACUGGAAUCACAUGCGGUCGACGCCAUCAAAGAGUCAUCUCCUUGGUCUUAGAAGGGCAGAAUCUGUUUGGAUCCAUAUCACCACAUAUUGGUAACCUCAGUUUUCUCAGGUUGAUCAACCUCCAAAACAACACCUUCCACGGUGAAAUUCCACAGCAAGUUGGCAAGUUAUUUCGACUGCAAGAAUUUCUUCUCGGAAAUAAUUCAUUACAAGGUGAAAUUCCACUCAAUUUGACUCGUUGUUCCCAUCUCUGGCUCAUCAACCUGCAAAACAAUUAUCUAACUGGAAAAAUCCCUGCAGAGCUUGGUUCUUUAGCAAUGCUUGAGGCGCUUCAAAUCAGUGCAAACAAAAUAAAUGGAAUAAUUCCACCUUCCCUUGGCAACCUUUCAAUGCUUAUUAGCCUUGCUGCAGGAAGGAUGCAGUUGGAGGGAAAUAUUCCAGUUGAAUUGGGCCGAUUAACAAGGCUAACAUUUUUCGCUUUUGUGGGGAACAAACUAUCUGGUAUAUUCCCUUUAUCUCUUUUCAAUAUCUCAUCUCUUAAAACGAUUUCAGUUGCGGAAAACAAGAUUAGCGGUAGCCUACCAAACAACAUAGGAAUUACUCUCCCAAAUCUCCAUUAUUUUGGAAUUGCAAAUAAUUCGCUUUUCGGGUCAAUUCCAAAUUCCUUUUUGUAAUGCUUCUCGAUUUGUGGUACUCGACUUUACGAGAAACAAUUUCGUAGGACAAGUCCCAAAUUGUCUAGGAAAUUUACAAAAUCUCACUUGGCUAAGUCUUUAUCAUAAUAAUCUAGGAUAUAAUUCGACAAGUGAUUUGGCCUUUUUAACAUCUUUGAAAAACUGUAGCAAUCUGAAAACUCUAGCUCUCAGUGCAAACAAUUUUGGAGGUGUUUUGCCCAACUCUAUAGCCAAUCUGUCAGUUCAACUUAACCAGCUGUAUUUUGGAAAUAAUCAAAUCAGGGGAAUUAUUCCUGAAGCAUUAGAGAAUCUCAUCAACUUAAUUUCAUUGGACAUGGGGCACAAUCUUUUCACUGGAGUCAUCCCUUCUUCUGCGGGACAAUUAAGAAAACUUCAACAGCUGAACCUAGAACAAAAUAGAUUGUCAGGUCAGAUCCCAUCCUCUAUAGGCAAUCUCACUCAAUUGUUUGUACUUUCCUUUUCGCAGAACAAUCUGGAAGGGAAUAUUCCUGCAAGUAUGAGAAAUUGCCAGAAUUUGCAAUAUUUGGAUAUUUCAGGAAAUAACCUUAAUGGAUCUAUACCCAUGGAGGUUCUUCGUAUUUCUUCCUUAUCUCGAUACUUAAAUUUAUCACAGAAUUCACUAACCGGUGACCUGCCAGUAGAUGUGGGAGAGCUAACAAAUAUAAAUACCAUGGAUGUCUCAGGAAACAUGCUUUCCGGAGAAAUUCCUGGAACCAUUGGGUCUUGUUCAAGUUUGGAAUAUCUCUUUAUGCAAGAAAAUUCUUUCCAAGGAAUCAUUCCUUCAUCUCUGUCUUCCUUGAAGGGACUCCAGGGAUUAGAUCUUUCGCGGAACAAUCUCACUGGUGAAAUUCCAAAAGACCUGCAAAGUUUACAUUAUCUAUCAUAUUUAAAUCUUUCUUUUAAUGAUCUUAUGGGUGAGAUUCCAAUCAACGGAGUUUUCAGAAAUGCAAGUGCAAUUUCAUUGAUAGGUAAUAAUAAACUUUGUGGAGGUGUGCCAAAACUCCAUCAACCAAAAUGCCCGACGAAAGCAAUGAAGAAGGGAAAGUCCAUUGCUAUUAAGUUAGCAAUCAUAAUUCCUUGUGUGAUUUUUUGUGUCCUAUUGAUGUUAGCCUCCAUGCUUGCUUAUCGAAGGAAAGUAUCAAAAAAGAGUUCGUCUGAUGCACUCAAAGAACUGGAUCGCCUUGUAAAGGUGUCUUACAAGGAUCUUUAUGAUGCAACUAGUGGAUUCUCUGCUGACAACUUAAUUGGAUCCGGCAACUUUGGUUCUGUGUAUAAAGGAUUUCUCAAUCAAAUGGAAAGACCUGUGGCUAUUAAGGUCCUCAAACUUGGAACAAAUGGUGCUUCAAAAAGCUUCAUUGCAGAAUGCAAGGUGUUAAGGACAGUGAGGCAUCGGAAUCUGGUUAAGCUAUUAACAUAUUGCUCUAGCGUUGAUUACAAACAAAAUGAAUUCAAAGCUCUAGUUUAUGAAUUCAUGGGCAAAGGAAGCCUUGAGAAGUGGUUGUAUCAAGACAUCCACAGCAAUUAUCAGUCAAGAAACUUGGAUUUUCUUCAAAGAUUGAAUAUUGCAAUUGAUGUGGCAUCUGCGUUGCAUUAUGUUCAUGACCUUUGCGAAAUUCCAAUAAUUCAUUGUGACUUGAAGCCCAAUAAUGUUCUUCUCGAUGAUGACAUGGUUGCACACAUAAGCGAUUUCGGUUUAGCUAAACUCUUCUUGAACACCAACGAUGCAUCUCAAACUCAAACCAGCUCAAUUGGAAUAAGAGGAACCAUUGGCUAUGCGCCUCCAGAGUAUGCAAUGGGUGGAACUGUAUCAAAAGAGGGAGAUGUAUAUAGUUAUGGGAUCCUUGUAUUGGAGAUGUUCUCAGGAAAAAGGCCAACAGAUAAAAUAUUUGAAGGCCAUUUAAAUCUGCACAACUUUGUGGAGGAUGCACUGCCAGAAAGACUCGCGCAAAUCACAGAUCCAACCCUUCUUUCAAGAGAAAUGGGCGAAACAUCAACAAAAAAUGCUGAAAUAGACGAGCAGAUAGAAAUACAUGCAAAAGCAGAGUACAACAAUAAUGGGAACCUGAGCCAGACAAGUACUGGUAAAGAGAAAGAUUGCUUGCUUUCAGUAUUCAAAGUUGGAGUAGCCUGUUCAGCAGAAUCACCCAAAGAUAGAAUGAGCAUGAGAGAUGUUGUUAAAGAACUGCAUUUGAUUAGAAGUACUUUCCUCGGAGUUCGAAUCCAUGGUUAAAAA
rnacentral:misc_RNA from 1 species